GAUGAACGCUGGCGGCGUGCUUAACACAUGCAAGUCGAACGGUGAAGCCAAGCUUGCUUGGUGGAUCAGUGGCGAACGGGUGAGUAACACGUGAGCAACCUGCCCUGGACUCUGGGAUAAGCGCUGGAAACGGUGUCUAAUACUGGAUACGAGCUCCUUCCGCAUGGUGGGGGUUGGAAAGAUUUUUCGGUCUGGGAUGGGCUCGCGGCCUAUCAGCUUGUUGGUGAGGUAAUGGCUCACCAAGGCGUCGACGGGUAGCCGGCCUGAGAGGGUGACCGGCCACACUGGGACUGAGACACGGCCCAGACUCCUACGGGAGGCAGCAGUGGGGAAUAUUGCACAAUGGGCGGAAGCCUGAUGCAGCAACGCCGCGUGAGGGAUGACGGCCUUCGGGUUGUAAACCUCUUUUAGCAGGGAAGAAGCUUUUGUGACGGUACCUGCAGAAAAAGCGCCAGCUAACUACGUGCCAGCAGCCGCCGUAA
rnacentral:rRNA from 1 species